AACGAUGACGACAGGGCUUGCCUUGUCUGAUUAGUGGCGAACGGGUGAGUAACACGUGAGUAACCUGCCCCCCUCUUCGGGAUAACCUCGGGAAAUCGGGGCUAAUACCGGAUAUGACUUCGCACCGCAUGGUGUGUUGUGGAAAGUUUUUCGGUGGGGGAUGGACUCGCGGCCUAUCAGUUUGUUGGUGAGGUAAUGGCUCACCAAGGCGAUGACGGGUAGCCGGCCUGAGAGGGCGACCGGCCACACUGGGACUGAGACACGGCCCAGACUCCUACGGGAGGCAGCAGUGGGGAAUAUUGCACAAUGGGCGAAAGCCUGAUGCAGCGACGCCGCGUGGGGGAUGACGGCCUUCGGGUUGUAAACCUCUUUCAGUAGGGAAGAAGCGAAAGUGACGGUACCUGCAGAAGAAGCGCCGGCUAACUACGUGCCAGCAGCCGCGGUAAUACGUAGGGCGCAAGCGUUGUCCGGAAUUAUUGGGCGUAAAGAGCUUGUAGGUGGCUUGUCGCGUCUGCCGUGAAAACCCGAGGCUCAACCUCGGGCGUGCGGUGGGUACGGGCAGGCUAGAGUGUGGUAGGGGAGACUGGAACUCCUGGUGUAGCGGUGAUAUGCGCAGAUAUCAGGAAGAACACCGAUGGCGAAGGCAGGUCUCUGGGCCAUUACUGACACUGAGAAGCGAAAGCAUGGGGAGCGAACAGGAUUAGAUACCCUGGUAGUCCAUGCCGUAAACGUUGGGCACUAGGUGUGGGGAACAUUCCACGUUUUCCGCGCCGUAGCUAACGCAUUAAGUGCCCCGCCUG
rnacentral:rRNA from 1 species